GAAAGAUCAAUGUUCACGUUGGAAUGAAUGAAAAUGACGUCAUUAUUCACGUGCACUACUACCACGACAGUCAACAUUGAAUUAUGUUGAUAAAGAAUCAAGUUCUGAUCAUAUUUGACUGAGAAAUAGUCUGCCAAAGAUUGUAAAGGAGUUAUAAAAACCUGGAUAGAGAAAGUGGGUCUCAGAGACGAAUUACUGGAUGGAAAUAUAUUUGGGAGUUUUGGUGGCGAAAGAGCAGAGGAACAUAAAAAACUGAAGAAGUCAGUUGCAGUAUUAAAGGAAAAUGAAAAACACAGAACGAACGGCAUAAAACCAAAGCCUAAAUUGUUACUAUGGCAUCACGACUCUUCUAGAAUUUUCUACGCCUUUUAUGUAAAGAGGAGAGAUACCGCCAUAUAUGGAGUGCAGUUCAAAUGGACACCAUGUCACGUGAUAUUCCAUGUUGAACCCCACGUGCACGGCACUUGCGAGGCAGCGCAUGUCGGAAUGCGGAAGCUGAGAACUAUUUAUAAAGU